rnacentral:rRNA from 1 species
UACGGGGGGGGUAAGCGUUGUUCGGAAUUACUGGGCGUAAAGGGCUCGUAGGCGGCCAACUAAGUCAGACGUGAAAUCCCUCAGCUUAACUGGGGAACUGCGUCUGAUACUGGAUGGCUUGGAUUCGGGAGAGGAAUGCGGAAUUCCAGGUGUAGCGGUGAAAUUCGUAGAUAUCUGGAGGAACACCGGUGGCGAAGGCGGCUCUCUGGACCGUAACUGACGCUGAGACGCGAAAGCGUGGGGAGCAAACAGG